CAAUAGCGUAUAUUAAAGUUGUUGCGGUUAAAAAGCUCGUAGUUGGAUUUCUGCUGAGAACGACCGGUCCGCCCUUUGGGUGUGUAUCUGGCUCUUUCUUGGCAUCUUCUUGGUGAACGUUGCUGCACUUGACUGUGUGGAGCGCUACCCAGGACUUUUACUUUGAGGAAAUUAGAGUGUUUCAAGCAGGCAUACGCCUUGAAUACAUUAGCAUGGAAUAAUAAGAUAGGACCUCGGUUCUAUUUUGUUGGUUUCUAGAGCUGAGGUAAUGAUUAAUAGGGAUAGUUGGGGGCAUUCGUAUUUAACUGUCAGAGGUGAAAUUCUUGGAUUUGUCAAAGACGGACUACUGCGAAAGCAUUUGCCAAGGAUGUUUUCAUUG
rnacentral:rRNA from 1 species